UACGAAGGGGGCUAGCGUUGCUCGGAAUCACUGGGCGUAAAGCGCACGUAGGCGGAUUGCUAAGUCAGGGGUGAAAUCCUGGAGCUCAACUCCAGAACUGCCUUUGAUACUGGCGAUCGUUGAGUCCGGGAGAGGUGAGUGGAACUGCGAGUGUAGAGGUGAAAUUCGUAGAUAUUCGCAAGAACACCAGUGGCGAAGGCGGCUCACUGGCCCGGUACUGACGCUGAGGUGCGAAAGCGUGGGGAGCAAACAGG
rnacentral:rRNA from 1 species